GAACUUUCUGUGGGAGAGAAAAACAAAGGAGAAAUUAUAGAUCCAUCAGUUUCAGAGGUGUAUAAUUAUAGAUCCAUCAGUUUCAGAGGUGUAUAAUUAUAGAUCCAUCAGUUUCAGAUGUGUAUAAUUAUAGAUCCAUCAGUUUCAGAGGUGUAUAAUUAUAGAUCCAUCAGUUUCAGAGGUGUAUAAUUAUAGAUCCAUCAGUUUCAGAGGUGUAUAAUUAUAGAUCCAUCAGUUUCAGAGGUGUAUAAUUAUAGAUCCAUCAGUUUCAGAGGUGUAUAAUUAUAGAUCCAUCAGUUUCAGAGGUGUAUAAUUAUAGAUCCAUCAGUUUCAGAGGUGUAUAAUUAUAGAUCCAUCAGUUUCAGAUGUUUAUAAUUAUAGAUCCAUCAGUUUCAGAGGUGUAUAAUUAUAGAUCCAUCAGUUUCAGAUGUGUAUAAUUAUAGAUCCAUCAGUUUCAGAUGUUUAUAAUUAUAGAUCCAUCAGUUUCAGAGGUGUAUAAUUAUAGAUCCAUCAGUUUCAGAUGUUUAUAAUUAUAGAUCCAUCAGUUUCAGAGGUGUAUAAUUAUAGAUCCAUCAGUUUCAGAGGUGUAUAAUUAUAGAUCCAUCAGUUUCAGAGGUGUAUAAUUAUAGAUCCAUCAGUUUCAGAGGUGUAUAAUUAUAGAUCCAUCAGUUUCAGAGGUUUAUAAUUAUAGAUCCAUCAGUUUCAGAGGUGUAUAAUUAUAGAUCCAUCAGUUUCAGAGGUGUAUAAUUAUAGAUCCAUCAGUUUCAGAGGUGUAUAAUUAUAGAUCCAUCAGUUUCAGAGGUGUAUAAUUAUAGAUCCAUCAGUUUCAGAGGUGUAUAAUUAUAGAUCCAUCAGUUUCAGAUGUUUAUAAUUAUAGAUCCAUCUGGAAAGGAAUUCAUCCAAGGCAGUGGAUCAAUCACAUGUAUUUAUUUAUAAAGCCCUUUUUACAUCA